CCCUUAGAUGUCCUGGGCCGCACGCGCGUUACACUGAUGCAUUCAACGAGCUUAUAACCUUGGCCGAGAGGCCUGGGCAAUCUUGUUAACGUGCAUCGUGAUAGGGAUAGAUUAUUGAAAUUAUUAAUCUUGAACGAGGAGUUCCUAGUAAACGCAGAUCAUCAAUCUGCAUUGAUUACGUCCCUGCCCUUUGUACACACCGCCCGUCGCACCUACUGAUUGAAUGACUCGGUGAAAAAUCGGGACUGCGAGAACAAUCGAUUAAUUUCGAAUGUACUUGUGGGAACUUUUUUUAACCUCGCCAUUUAGAAGAAGGUGAAGUCGUAACA
rnacentral:rRNA from 1 species